rfam:Felis catus isolate Cinnamon breed Abyssinian chromosome D1, whole genome shotgun sequence.
GCCUGGGUGGCUCAGUCAGUUGGGCAUCUGACUUCGGCUCAGGUCAUAAUCUCGCGGUCCGUGAGUUCGAGCCCCGCAUCGGGCU